GUAGAAAAUAUCUCGUGUUGGCGCCUAGAAAGAGGCGGUGGUUCUCCGUAGAUCCAAGCAAGAGCUCUACCUAGGUUGGCCGUGGAGUGGACGGCGACGGCGACGGCGACGGCGAUGGAUUCGCUUCUUCUCCGGCCUUUCUCCUCCCCUCCUCGCCUCUCCUUGCCGGCUCCUCGCGCAGGUUGUUGUGUCCCAAGCCAGCACUUUAUCCAAAAAACACGCAACAUCACGGUUAGAUGUAAUGUUGGAGGAGUUAAAUGGGAUCCCAGUGACCAUCAUCUUAGACACAGUGACAGAAAGUUUGUGCCUGGAACUAGUUAUCCAUGUCAUGUUAAUGCCACAUCAGGGCACCCGUUUGGAUCCCAGCCUGAAGCUUAUAAUCCUACAAAUAGUUGGAAAUCAGCAUUGGCUUCGGUAGAUGCUUUCUACAGAUUUUCACGCCCCCACACAGUCAUAGGAACAAUAAUGAGUAUAAUCUCAGUAUCUUUGUUGUGUGUUGAGAGCUCAUCCGAUAUUUCUCCUGUGUUUCUGACUGGAUUAUUGCAGGCAGUUGUUGCUGCACUUUUUAUGAAUAUUUACAUUGUUGGACUAAAUCAAGUCUUUGACAUAGAAAUAGACAAGGUUAAUAAGCCAAAUCUCCCUCUAGCAUCUGGGGAAUAUUCCUUGAGGACUGGAGUUGCAAUUAUUUGGACUUUUGCUGCCAUGAGCUUUGGCGUUGCGUGGAUUGUUGGUUCCUUGCCAUUGUUUUGGGCUCUCUUUGUCAGCUUUAUCCUUGGAACUGCAUAUUCAAUCAACCUGCCUUUUUUAAGAUGGAAGAGAUUUGCUGUUAUUGCAGCACUCUGCAUUCUGGCAGUGCGUGCUGUGGUUGUUCAACUGGCAUUUUUCCUUCACAUGCAGACGUUUGUUUUCGGAAGAUCAGCCAAUCUUUCCAGGCCGCUGAUAUUUGCAACUGCAUUCAUGAGCUUCUUCUCUGUUGUUAUUGCACUGUUCAAGGAUAUACCUGAUAUUGAAGGUGAUCGUAUAUUUGGCAUUCGGUCUUUCAGUGUUCGUCUGGGUCAAAGACGGGUGUUUUGGAUUUGUGUCUAUCUCCUUGAGAUGGCAUACAGUGUUGCCGUGGCCAUUGGAGCCACUUCUUCCUGCCUAUGGAGCAAGUUUAUAACUAUUUUGGGCCAUGCCAUCCUUGCUUCAAUCCUCUGGAAUCGUGCUAGAACUCUUGACCUCAUGAAUAAAGCUGCAAUAACAUCUUUUUACAUGUUUAUUUGGAAGCUGUUUUAUGCGGAGUACUUGCUCAUUCCACUUGUGAGAUGAUUUUGGGGGUAAACUGGAAGAACAACAAGCUGCUUUUAGGAAACUCAUUAUUUCUCUUGGACUAAUAAUGAACCAGCACUGGACUGCAACAGAUUCUCCACUUCCACAAAAUGGCAAAAAAGACAGGGGGAAAGGUCUUAAAGAUGCAUGGACCUGGAAAAAGGCAGGGAAGAUAUGUGUGUUCUAUAUCUAAAGUUGAGCCAUCUUUUAGUUUAUAUGUGUUUGGGAAUUCAACAAUUGGUGUCUAGUCAUACAAUGCCUGCCACCACCAUUUCCUGUCUUUCUUUGUGACUCUCCAGAUUGCCAAUAAUUUCUUGUGACACUACUAAUGCAUGUGAAGACCUCUGAUGAGUUUGUCCA